UAAAUUGAACUUUAAUCACAUACAGGAGGCUCUUGCAGGGUCUAUCAAGCUAUUAACAUAGCAGGGGAUAAGAAAAUCUUAAUUAAACAGAACUUGCAAUAAAGAAAGCCUAAAUAGGGCUCUCUUUACAGGAAGUGUUUAUGGAAGGCUGUGCAAGUCACAUGCAGGGAGGUGUGACUAGGGUUCAUAAACAAAGGGAUUUAACUCCUAAAUGGCAGAGGAUUGAGCAGUGAGG